rnacentral:rRNA from 1 species
GAUGAACGCUAGCGGCAGGCUUAAUACAUGCAAGUCGAGGGGCAGCACAGAUAGCAAUAUUGGGUGGCGACCUGCAAACGGGUGCGGAACACGUACACAACCUUCCUUUUAGUGUGGGAUAGCCCAGAGAAAUUUGGAUUAAUACCACAUAGUAUAUUGGAGUGGCAUCACUUUGAUGUUAAAGAUUUAUCGCUAAAAGAUGGGUGUGCGUAUGAUUAGGUAGUUGGUAGAGGUAACGGCUCACCAAGCCUUCGAUCAUUAACUGGUGUGAGAGCACGACCAGUCACACGGGCACUGAGACACGGGCCCGACUCCUACGGGAGGCAGCAGUAAGGAAUAUUGGUCAAUGGACGGAAGUCUGAACCAGCCAUGCCGCGUGAAGGAUGACGGCCCUCUGGGUUGUAAACUUCUUUUAUGUGGGACGAAAAAGGGCUAUUUUUGGUCAACUGACGGUACCAUAGGAAUAAGCACCGGCUAACUCCGUGCCAGCAGCCGCGGUAA